GCUCCGGUAAGCUUAAUUGGUAAAGCACUCGUCUAGCAUACAAGGUUCGUGGGUUCGAAUCCCACUUGAGCU
rnacentral:tRNA from 1 species